rnacentral:ncRNA from 2 species
GGUCAUGAGCAUCAGCGACAAGCCCCGGCUAGCUGAUCAGCAACCCUCCUCCGCGGUGGGGUGCUCCGGGUGAUGACCGGGUUGUGCGCCACGCAUCGAGACGAUGUGCGGCUUACGGCAAGCGCGGGUC